AUUGAACGCUGGCGGCAUGCCUUACACAUGCAAGUCGAACGGCAGCACGGGCUUCGGUCUGGUGGCGAGUGGCGAACGGGUGAGUAAAGUAUCGGAACGUACCAUUGAGUGGGGGAUAACGUAGCGAAAGUUACGCUAAUACCGCAUAUACCCCGAGGGGGAAAGCAGGGGAUCGCAAGACCUUGUGCUCUUUGAGCGGCCGAUAUCAGAUUAGCUAGUUGGUGAGGUAAAGGCUCACCAAGGCGACGAUCUGUAGCGGGUCUGAGAGGAUGAUCCGCCACACUGGAACUGAGACACGGUCCAGACUCCUACGGGAGGCAGCAGUGGGGAAUUUUGGACAAUGGGGGCAACCCUGAUCCAGCCAUGCCGCGUGAGUGAAGAAGGCCUUCGGGUUGUAAAGCUCUUUCGGCCGGGAGGAAAUCGCAUAGGUUAAUACCCUGUGUGGAUGACAGUACCGGAAUAAGAAGCACCGGCUAACUACGUGCCAGCCGCCGCCGUAAAAC
rnacentral:rRNA from 1 species